CCUACCACUACCCUUGCCCCGCACAUGGAGUAGUCCAAUGUGACUUCUAGUUGGAACUGGAAGUGUUGAAUGUUUUUCUUAAAAGAACCCUUUGUGUCAGCGGCUGGAAGACGGUUCUUUGCGUCUGAGAUCAAGGAAAGGAGUGGGUGCAAAAUGAGUUUUGGGGCUAGAAGCAGCAGUCAAAGCAAGGAUUGGGAAAAAAGCACAAGAGGUGGCUAAGCCAUAAAAGGAGGAGGCUGGGGAAAACAAGGCCUGGUUUCCCCCUUAAAUCUGCCGGAAGAGCCGGUUUCCUCCGUCUAAAGUUGCCAGCUGACCAUAAAAAGCCCAAGCUGGCUUGCUCCUGUGCCCGUCCGAGCUGCAGAAAUCAGCAGCUGAGGCUUUUCCUCCACAGGCCUUUUUUCCUUAGCAGGAGGAGCGGUUGGUGAUUGGAGGAGCUGCUGUGGGGAAAAGCACAGGAGCAGAGUUCGGAAAGCAGGGCGUGCAAUGAAAAGCAUGGGAUGAACAAAUGAUUAACGGGAAGAUACAAGCAAGCAAAUCAAGAUGAAGGCUCAUUGUUGCUGACCGACGUCUUUCCAUACAUAAGAUCCCAGGUUCAAUUCCCAGGGGCAUCUGCAGGCCGUAGUUGAGCUGCAAGAGCAUCUGCUUUGCAUGCAGAGGGUCCCAGAUGCAAUCCCCAGCAUCUCCAGGUGGGGCUGGGAAAUGUCCCCUACUUGAAACUCUGGACCGGCUGCUGCCAGUCAGUGUUGACAUUACUGAGCUGGAUGGACCGACGGUUUGACUUGAUAGAAGGCAGUUUCCUGUGUUGUCUUUUUGAUAGGGAUAAGCUUCUCUCGUUCACCGGCAAGAUUCUCAAUCCGACUGGUCAUUUGUCCGCUGAGUUUCAAGGCCUGAUAAUUUUGGUUUGGGAGGGGGAGGGAGACUAUUCAGGCCUCGUCCCAAGUGGGAGAAUGAUGGCGGAGUGGAGAGAUGGGCAAGGUUUCCAGCUGAAGGCUGUGCCAGAGAAUGGGUUGAAGGUGGAGGAGAUGGACCCAGCAGGCCCUGAAACUGCCCUCUUGGUUGGAAAUACUAAGGAAUUCUGGGAAAGAACCAUGCGCCCACAAAUUAGUCAGAGCUCGGAGGAAGGGCCACAACAGUCCCUGACAACCAAACCUCAGGGGAUUGUAAACCUCCAGUCCCUUCAGCCAUAUCCAGGUGACUUCCAGCCAUUGCUGCCAGGGCCAAGGGUGGAUGCAAAGGGGUUUAAUCCCCCUUGCGGAGCCCCCCUUGACCCCUGCCAGAAACCAAAAGGGCUAAGGGUGAUCCUAGCCCCUCCAGGCCUCUCUACGGAA